AUGGGGAAGAAGAUGGGGUGGGGGCUGCCUCUACCCCUCCCACCAACUCCCCAGUCCUGGAAGCUGCAGCCUCCCCCGGGAGCCAGGCCGGGGGAGAGGCAGACGCUGGUGCGGCAGGCAGGACCCCAAGGAAUUCAUUUGCCUGACCUGUGUCCUUCUCAUGGGCUGGACAAGGAGCCUCCCACUGCAUCAGUACCAAGAACAGGACAAGCUGCAGCCAUUUCAGAGAGGUUGAUUGCUGCUCUGAACCACCCCAGAUCACAAGAAAAAUCAGCUAAGCAAGACCGCUAUAACUCCACCCCAAGACUUCUUCUUCUUACCCCAUCUCCAGCUGCAGCCCUGAGGGUCUUCAGCCCAGGGGGUACAUGAACGGAGAGAUGCUGGCUAGUGUUGCUCAAUAAUUGGGGAGAGGGGGUCUUUUUCUUUAUUCCUGCCUAGCUGACACCUCUCCCUUAGAAACUCAUGCUCAGUAUUUUAAAAUUCUUUAUGGAUUGUGCUGUUGCUUUGAAUAGGUUGCUAUUAAGUUGCAGUAAGAUGACAGCAGGAGAAAAGUAAAGUUAUAUCUUUAGCCUUACUCUCUUUUGCAGUGUAGUCUUUGCAUCAUGAAAGCAUUCACCUCCAAAUUAUUUCCAUUUGAAAUUGUUCUUUCAAAAAAGACUUUCUGGCCACAUCUGAGCAACAAGGAGGCUCCCAGGAGGCAACUCUUAGGCACCUGUAAUACUAGGCUAAGUUUCAGUUUCAGGAGUAAAGGUUCAUAUGCAGUCAUCAAUUUCAAGGGCCCAUCAGUGGACCAUCCUCCUUCACUAGUCAUUGUCUCUGUACUUGGGGGAUUGUUGCUGAUCUAUUAGAGAAUGUGGCAGAGCUCCCUAGAAUGGGAAUGUGAUAUUCCUUUGGUUAUUGUGUGAAUCUCCACCCACCGUGACAAUGCCCCAUGAACAUUUAAACAUAAUUAUAUGCCUUAUAUAUAUGCCCAGGUGAGCUUCCUCCCAUGUAUCCCCUGUCACUGACACCCCACACCAGUGAUUCUCCUCUGCCAUAGUUGUAACCCUACUGUAAUCCAAAACUUCUUAAAAAAUGAAGCCAAUAAAAUAAAUAUGAUUAAUAAGAAAAUAAAUAAUGAUAGUUUUAAAAAUAAGAAAUAAAAUAAAAUUUUUUAAAAUCUGGUAUAAUGAAAAUAAUGAAAAAAUAUUUUUUAAAAAUUUUUGACAUUUUCCCUUUCAUCACUAUAAGAUCUGUUGACCUAUACAUACAGUGGCAUUGUCUUCCAUUUAUUCCCCCAGUGUCUUACUUUUUUUUUUUUUUUUCAUUUUGGCCUCUCUCUAAGCCAAAUUCAACAUAUAAAUACUUCCUCCCCAGUGUGAGACAUGACUCCCAGCGCUGAGCCUCCCUGGCACUGAGAUAUCUACCAAGGACCAACUUGCAAUGCAACUGAAAAAAGACCUUGAUCAAAAGAGGGAAAAGGCAAAGACAAAUGAGUUUGUAUGGCUAAGAGAUGUUAAAGUGAGCCAGGAUGUCAUUCCAGAGAUUAUGCUUAUGCACAUCUCAGCAGGAUCUCUUUGACUGCCAAAGUAGAUACUACUGCAAAUAGGGGGGCUCCUAAGGGCUCUGGAGACAUCCAGACACUAUAGUCAGGGCAGAUAGCUGAGGAGUUUGGUGCCUUGCCAGAGUAUUUAUGCUCCCAAGAGUGACAGAGUUGGACUCAGUUGCGGUUUCUCUACUCACAGCUCUUCUGUCCUAUUUUUACCUAUUAUUAGUACUAGAGGUGGUAGGUAUAUAUCCAAAGAACUUAAGUCUUUGGGCUUUCCAUGUGCCAGCUGGGCCCUGAAUCUCCUCAGAGUUGUUACAGCUACUCUCCAGUUCAUUGGUCUCAUCCAGGACAACUAACAUAGAGGUGAUGAUGGACAACUAGCAUACCAAGGAACCAAGAGAGUCUACAACUGCAGGCAAGAGAGUCCCAUCCAGCGGCCCUAUGGGAUCACAGCCCCCUCUCAAUUAAAGGUGGAGUGGACAUCACCAUCCCAGAAUCCUCAGUAUUGGGGAAUGAACUAUAGACUAAAGUAGACUUACUGGUAUUCUAACUAUAGACUUAUUGUGAUUCUAGCAAUAGCAGAAAUUUUAUCAAUGAUGUGGAGGCAGUGGCCACUGGAGUUUCUGAGGGCAGGGAGAGGGAAAAACAUGUAAUACGGGGGCAUUUUGGGGACUUGGGAAUUGUCCUGAAUGGCAUUGCAAUGACAGAUACAGGCCAUUAUAAAUCUUGCCAUAACCUACAGAAUUGUGUGGGAGAGAGAGUAAACAACAAUGUAAACUUUAGUCCACACUUAGUGGCAAUACUCAAAAACAUGUUCAUCAAUUGCAGUGAAUGUACCUAACUAAUGAAAGAUUUGUUAAUUUGGGGAAAUGUGGAAGGUAUUGGGAGCAGGGCCUAAGGGAAUCCCCUGUAUUUUUUAUGCAAUAUUUGUAUAAUCUAAGUAUCUUUGAAAACUUUUUAAAAAUAAAAUUGGAAAAAAAAAAAGACUUUCCGUUUUCCCUCCAAUUUCAAUGAUCUCUAUAGGUAUCAGUGAUGGUUCUCCUCU
ensembl:lincRNA